rnacentral:rRNA from 1 species
UCGGGCUAAAAAGUCGGAGGAAGGUGGGGAUGACGUCAAAUCAUCAUGCCCCUUAUGACCUGGGCUACACACGUGCUACAAUGGGCGGUACAAAGGGUCGCGAACCCGCGAGGGGGAGCCAAUCCCAAAAAGCCGCUCUCAGUUCGGAUUGCAGGCUGCAACUCGCCUGCAUGAAGCCGGAAUCGCUAGUAAUCGCGGAUCAGCAUGCCGCGGUGAAUACGUUCCCGGGCCUU